rnacentral:lncRNA from 1 species
AAUUGAUGGCCCAGAAGUCUCCAGCAGCUACCAAAUCUCCAGGGGCACAAUUCGAGAAGCAAGGCAGAACCCCAGACAAGCCCGUUUUCUCUGAUACGAUGCCAGCGUUGUCUCUGAUUGCUGGGGCUUCUGGUGGGCUGAACACGUGGGGCACCAGGGAUGAGAGCGCUCCUCCGCACGUCCCGCCUCUGAGCUCGCCCAGCGCGUUCCGGCAGCGCUUGAGGGACUGGCUGCCUUCCAGCGYGGCAGGGAGGAGACGGGGCAAAGGAGCAGGCCGCCGCUUCCAGGCUGAAAGCCACAGGUGUGCCCCGGCUCACGCAGCGUYGUGUGGGGCUGUUUCCACUGAUCAGGACCCUUCAGCCUCGAAAAGGGAGGGCACAAGAGGGAGGAGGAAAAAAGCUGACAAAAUCAAGGCGGGAACCCAACUCUUCCCUGUACGUGAGCAUGGCCCUGUCAAAAAGCAGCAGGCUCCAGACAGGCGAAAGGGGCAGCUCUUCCCCCGUGACGCAGUCAAGCUGCAGCCUCCGAGCUCUGGGAACACAGAGAAUGGCUUAAAAAUGUACAGGCAAAAAGCAACAGGACAAAUUCACCAUAGAAAUUGGAAGAAAUUAAAUCGGGUCCCACUCCCUCUUCUGCAAGUCCCCCAGCUACAAAGUCUUGGCAGAUGGGAGGGUAUCGCUUCCCGAUCGCUCUGCUCCUGCUCUCUGCUGCAGGCGUCGAGGCAGAGGCACUGGUCACUCCAUACGGGCAGAGCCACAUCGGGCAYCACGGUGUCACAAGGCGAGAGGCUCGGGCAGAUCCUGGACAUCAGCCUCCCAGCAUCCUCAUCAGUGCUGUGGAGGAAGAGUGUUUCUGAACCAAAGCUCUCCGACAGAGAUCCUCAGGAUUUGCCUCAGGAUUUGUCAGGCUGCAGUGUGAAGCAUCUUCCUGAGCUAGACAUAUUUGUUUGUCGAUAUUUAAUCUGCCAACAAAACUGGUGCGUGACCAAAUUGAAUAUUUAAUUUAAUUUACACUAACCAGAAGCUGGACAGCAUUUUAUCCGAUGGAAAAUGUUUGCAGCCCUUUCUUUCCUUUUAACUGAUUUUUUCAUGAAAAGUUGUUGAUUUUUUUCUUGGGAUUUGUUCACAUCUUUUUUGUUUUUUUCCUUGUGAUGCUGUUAUGGUCUGUGUUGAGGAUGAUUUUCAUUUACCAGCACAGGAGUUCAAUGAAUGAGCUAUUUGAAUAACC